rnacentral:rRNA from 1 species
UGGGGAAUAUUGCGCAAUGGGGGAAACCCUGACGCAGCGACGCCGCGUGCGGGAUGAAGGCCUUCGGGUUGUAAACCGCUUUUGAUUGGGAGCAAGCUUUCGGGUGAGUGUACCUUUCGAAUAAGCGCCGGCUAACUACGUGCCAGCAGCCGCGGUAAUACGUAGGGCGCAAGCGUUAUCCGGAAUUAUUGGGCGUAAAGAGCUUGUAGGCGGUUCGUCGCGUCGGGUGUGAAAGCCCAUCGCUUAACGGUGGGUUUGCGCCGGGUACGGGCGGGCUAGAGUGCAGUAGGGGAGACUGGAAUUCCCGGUGUAACGGUGGAAUGUGUAGAUAUCGGGAAGAACACCAAUGGCGAAGGCAGGUCUCUGGGCUGUUACUGACGCUGAGAAGCGAAAGCGUGGGGAGCGAACAGG